GAAAUGCGAUAAGUAAUGUGAAUUGCAGAAUUCAGUGAAUCAUCGAAUCUUUGAACGCACAUUGCGCCCCCUGGUAUUCCGGGGGCAUGCCUGUUCGAGCGUCAUUUCACCACUCAAGCCUCGCUUGGUAUUGGGCAUCGCGGUCCGCCGCGUGCCUCAAAUCGACCGGCUGGGUCUUCUGUCCCCUAAGCGUUGUGGAAACUAUUCGCUAAAGGGUGUUCGGGAGGCUACGCCGUAAAACAACCCCAUUUCUAAGGUUGACCUCGGAUCAGGUAGGGAUACCCGCUGAACUUAAGC
rnacentral:misc_RNA from 1 species